rnacentral:lncRNA from 1 species
CUCUGAUCGUCGCCACCACCAUCGCCAUCGCCACAAUCGCUUGUGACCACCAUCUCACCACUGACAACAAGGACAAAUCCACCAUCACAUCGCCUUACCAAUGCCAUUGGCAACAAAUAACACUCCCCAAAACUAACAAAAUCUAACCACCUCUGCCAACACCAACGCCGUCGUCACCACCCCCACCUGCUGAAUCGCCGUCUCUAAUGACACCAUCACCUUCAAUACCUCACCACAACUAUCUAUAGUACCACGAUCACCACCACAAACCAUGAAAACAUGAAAACUACUACAGACCAUCCAACCGAAAAAAAACACCACUACUGUAGCCACGAUUUGCACCAUCACCACUACGAUCUAUGUCCCUGUAGCCUUGAUCUUUACCAUCACGAUCUGCAGCAGAGAUCUACAAGCCUCCACCGAUGCUCACAAAGAACGAAUGACUUUGCCCAUGAUUUGUAGAGCCUCCGGCGAUCUGGGCCUCCAAUGAUUCUGCUAUCACCUACGGCAGCGCAUAUGCUACCACUAAUAUCAUAGGAAGCAAUGCCACCUAUAGUCACACCUCGUUUGUGUCGCCGUACAGCGAUUGAGCGGCAUUGGUAGUGUCACUUGCGUUCAGCCAUUGUGUGUAGAGAGAGAAAGAUGGGAUUGGGAGAGAGAACAAGGUGAGGAGAGAGACA